UUUUUUUUUAAAGAAGGAAUCCUAGAGCAAAUUUCAUAGCUACCAAAUCAGAAAGAGGUUGUGGUGGCAUGUUGCCAUUUAACUUCUGGUUUGAAUGAUAUAAGAGACAGUCUGUUCAGCAGUUAUUCGUAGCAGUUUUAAUACAGUUAUAGACCAGUAUGAGAGGCUCCCUGUACUGCUGCAGUUCUUGGCAAGAAAAACAAUGUGUAGAUCAAGCCACAGCUGAAUGAAAUAAUUCCAGAGGGAGGAUCACAGGUCUGGUGCAGACUCAGCCUAUCAACAAUGAAUGAUUUAAGUAAAUAAAAUCUCAAUUAAUAUCGUACAUCUUUACUCAUUGACAGUGUGUCCACAUUGGUCUUUUUCAAAUCUAUCACCAUUUUUUAUACACCUAACCAAUAUUUAUUCAAACCAAAGAAAAUGGGUUUCAUUCCAGGCCCUGCUAUUUAUUGGCUGUUUGUCCUUGGGCAAGUUAGCUAAUCUUUCUAAGAUUCAGUUUCUGCAGGCAUAGAGAUAAUGGUAUCUAUCUUACAGAAUUAUUAUAAAUAUGAAUGAUUAAGCAUGAAAUACUUAAUUCUUUGCUAGGCAUGACCUACAGAGGCACUCAAAAUACUGUAAAGCAUCAAACACAAAGCAAAAUAUAAGUACUGAAAAGUUUCAUUGGUGUGAGCAAAUAGUUGUCUGUCUUAAAGGAAUUUGGCUCUAAUCAUACAGAUAAUGCAUACACUAAAAUAAUACAUAACUAGACCCAACCUGACAGAAAAUAAAGAAAUUGCUGAGUGUUUCUUUAGCUUUCAAAUUGGAUCACUUUAUGUUUUUGUUACAUCAUGCUCUUUCAAUUUCGUUCCAGUAAACUGGGUACAUUAUAAAGAUAUGUUUAUAGAGAUGGAAGAAUGGACUGGAUCAAAAGUUGUAAAAAUCCUAUCCCAUUAAGCAAUAAAUAGCCAUGGUAGAUCUCAGUGGAAAAUAGUUUUCCCUCAUUAAGAAAAAGAAUUGUUUAUUUUCUUUUCUUUCCCUUCCAAUAAAAAUCUCAACAGGAGUGUGCAUGUAUAUGUGUGUGUAUGAGUGUGUGUAUGUGAGGGGGGCUGACAAGCCAAUACAAAAUUUUUCCAAGAAACCAAAAGUAACCAAGACAGGUCUGAGAAUAAGAAUUAGAUGGGCAGCCUUGCCUUAUCAGGUGUAAAAACUUACUAUAAGGCUCUAGUAAUGAAGACUGGUACAGACACAGGUAAACAGAUCAACAGGCAGAAUUGAGAGCCUAGAGACAGAGCCAAAGGCAAAUGGAAAUUGAUUUAUGAUAGAACAGAUAUUACAGGCUGGGAAGAAAAGAUGAACUUUUCAGUAAAAAGUGCUAAGACAGGAGCUUAUUCAUACCGGGGGUUGGGGCGUGGGGGGGAAUUAUUCCACAUUAUACAAAGACUAAGUGUCAGAUAAAAGUCAUAAAUGUGAAAGGAAAAACUAUAAUACAAGAAUAAAGCUUUAUGACUUUGGGGUAAGGAUAAACAAGACUCUAACAGCACUAAUCGUAAAGAAGAGAUCUUUAUAUUUGACAUUAAAAUUACAAUCUUCAGUUUAUCAAAAAGACACCAUAAAGAGUGAAAAAAAUGACAAGAAUCGACAUCUUCAUAACACAUGUUAAAAAAGAAAUAGCAUUCAUAUUAAGAAAUACAUAUGAAAAUAUAUUAAAUAGCGCAGACUGGGGGUGGCAAAUAGCUCAAUAAUAAAUGGCUAGGAAACCUGAGCAGACCUCCCGCGGAAGCUGAAACCCAAAUGAUCAUUAACCCGCGCGCGAAUACUCAAGCUCCUUCGACCUGGUGCGGGCCGCCAUGUUCCCAGCAGCACUUGCGGGCUUGAGGCAGUAAAGCUCCCAGGUGGCUGCGGGCUCUGAGGGUCUGUUGCUGCUGCCUGGACCACCGGGCGCUGCAUCUACUUUCACUGGGUGCAGAGACGUGGUCAUGGUUUUCCACUCUCAGAGCAGCAGGACCCUGCCCAGGAGCUAAGCCCAGGCAUCCAGGACUGCUGUGGCCUCGGCAGGAUAGAGGCCUCCACAAACCUACAAACCUACAAACCUACAAACGCUGGCAGCUUCAGCGUCUAGGGGACUGAGGAAGGUCAGAGCCUGCAGAAACUUCAAAGCGGUGCCGUGAAUCAGUGGUGCCACCCUCAAGGAGCAUCUGGUUGUGGGACUUUACAGACCUGGGUCUUCUCUGUCCCAAACCCCAAAGGGCCCUAGCCUCCUGAACUCCAACGUGGAGUCUGAGUCUGUGACAUAAACUCCAGCUGGAAGCCUGGACAGCCUGGGGCCUCCACGAUUCAAUCAGGACUUAGACCCACUCUCUCCCAAUGGUCAACGGCAGCCUCACGCCUGGUUUACUUGAGCCUUCCCUGUACUAAAUUUAAGGAGUUCAGCUAGGAAAGAGUACUCAGUGUGAUGCAAGUGGACUCUCACUCAUCCUUACCAGUUCUGGCUGUAAACUGUUGCCUUUGAAGUGUUUUGGUUGGAAGUUUUGUGCACAGCUUUUGCUUAGCUGUGUUUUGAUUGAACCAUGAGGGACUGUGCCUUACAAUGCUGAAUUAAUCAAGACUUUGGAAUGUUAUCUGAAAAAAUUCCAAAAGCAGACAGCCUCACCUCUGUAGGUCUGUGGUGCCCACCCUGGACUUAUAUUUUUACCUCACUUUCUAGGUUCCAAUUACCUGGUUCUAGUUCCAUGGUCUGAACUAUGAUCAUUGAAAUUAUCUAUGAUUAUAGACACUGUUGAGGUUAGAAUUCCCUAACUGUAGUUUUUAGGACCCCUUGAAUAAUGUUGAAUGGGAAUGGUGAUACCAAGUCUUCCUGUCUUACUCUUAAUUCAAAAACAACUGCUUCUCAUAUUUCUCUAUUAAGAAUAACAUUUGUUUUAAGAUUGUUUUGGGGGGUAAGGGCUGUACCCGAGGCAUAUGAAAAUUCCCAGGCUAGGGGUCUAAUCAGAGCUGCAGCUGCUGGCCUACACCACAGCCACAGCAACAGGAUGUCUGAGCUGCAUCUGCGGCUUACACUGCAGCUGGUGGCAAUGCCAGAUCCUUAACCCGCUGAGCAUGUCUGGGGAUUGAACCUUCAUCCUCAUGGAUAGCAGUUGGGUUCUCAACCCACUGAGCCACAACAGGAACUCCUGCUCUAAUGUUUUAAUAUAUACUAUGUUUUUAAUUUUCUGAGUUUUUGUGUGUGUGUGUUUGUUUUGUUUUUUUUUUCCUUUUUUAGGGCCGAACUCAAGGCAUAUAGAAGUUCCCAGGCUAGGGGUCCAACUGGAACUACAGCUGGCAGCCAACACCACAGCCACAGCAACGCCAGAUCUGAACUGCAUCUGCGACCUACAUCACAGCUCAUGGGAACACUGGAUCCUUAACCCACUGAGCGAGGCCAGGGAUCAAACCCGAAACCUCAUGAUUCCUAGCUGGAUUUGUUUCCGCUGUGCCACAAUGGGAACUCCUUCUGAGGGUUUUUUUUUUUUUUUCUCAUGAGUUAGUUUUGAAUUGUAUGAAAUGGUUUUCCUGGAUAUAUUGCGCAUGCCAUCUCUGUUUUUACCCACCUUAUCUAUUGAUGUAGUGAAUUUCUAUAUACAUUUUUAGUGAUAAACCAACUUGAUUAAUUUCUAGGUUAUUAGCAAUUUGACAUGACUCCUUAUAUUUUAUAUCUUAGAAAUUAUUUCUGUGCUCAAAAAUUAAAGACAAAAAAAUCAUAAAGCCACAUUUUCCACUGUCCUAUAAAGAGGAAUAGGGCCAUCAGUAGGGGAAUAGCUAUGCCUAAAGCACCUUACACCCAAUUUUAAAAUGUUUCAGAAAUACACACUGAAAUUUACCAAAAAAAAAAAAAAAA
ensembl:lncRNA